rnacentral:rRNA from 1 species
UACGUAGGGUGCAAGCGUUUGUCCGGAAUUACUGGGCGUAAAGGGCUCGUAGGCGGCCAACUAAGUCAGACGUGAAAUCCCUCGGCUUAACCGGGGAACUGCGUCUGAUACUGGAUGGCUUGGAUUCGGGAGAAGAAUGCGGAAUUCCAGGUGUAGCGGUGAAAAUGCGUAGAUAUCUGGAGGAACACCGGUGGCGAAGGCGGCAUUCUGGACCGACAUUGACGCUGAGGAGC